rnacentral:misc_RNA from 1 species
GUUAUUGUUGUUGUUGUUGUUGUUUUAUACUACCCAUUUCUAGUACACUACACUCGUCCGUAUGAACACUAUGUUUAGUUAUGGCCUGUAUUUGCUCAAGGGAAAUUUACUGUUUCUAAGGCCCCUGCCAAAGGGGAGGAAUUCCUUGACAAGGGGCAAAAUGCCCCUCAUGUAAUUCCUAUUUAUAUUUAGGAAUCCUGAAUGCAUAAGGAUUAAGUAAAUAUAAAGAGAGCUGUAAUAUUCUCAUUCUCAUAUAGUGAAAAGGGCAGGUGACUGUCAACUGACAUUGAUUUCCAAACCACAUAAAAUUCUUGCUUUCAUUUUUCUCUCUCUAUUUCUAAUCUGCAUGUGUGUCUGUUCAAGUAACACACUGUAAAUUAUUAACAACACAAUUACUAAAAAGAGGCCUAACAUGCAUUGCUUUCAACUUCUCCUGGAUUUAUAUAAGUGCAAUAGAAUACAUUUCAGAAUCCAGUAACUUUCUUUGUUCCGUUCCUUUAUUAAAAUUGAAGUCUGCCAUUCAAAUAUGAUAUCUAGAAGUAGAUAGACGGGCAGAUAUUUGCCUGCCAGAAUGGUGAUGCUGCCACCCUUAACUCUCACAAUACUGGUAAUAUAAAUCAAUAAAAACUUGGUUCAAGCAGACCAAAUCAAAGUGGGAUGGAAUUUACAUGAAUGCUUCUCAUGGGUCUGUGUCUUUUGUCAUUAUGAUCAUUAUUAAAAACUGUCCAAUGAUUGUACUUCAAUAUAACCCAAGUCAUCACAAUAGCACACCUACCAAAUAACCUAUCCACAGAUUCAAUGGACAUGAUCUUAAUUCAAUUAUUAGUAUGAUAAAUUGUAGCAAGUAGGGAAAAUUGAAAUCAGCAUUACAACAUAAGAAAGGAUUUUUGAUGUAAACCUGAGGUUUAACCUCCA